rnacentral:rRNA from 1 species
CGUAAGGGAGGAAGCCACCUAAGGUAGGGUCAGCGAUUGGGGUGAAGUCGUAACAAGGUAGCCGUAGGAGAACCUGCGGCUGGAUCACCUCCUUUCUAUGGAGA